UAUAGUUUAACAGAGGAAAAAAAAAGAUUCAUGGUUUGUAAUGAGUUUGCCAAAAAGAGGUCCAAAGGCUCAAAGUGGGUAACUAGGGAUUAACUUAUGCACUGGUAGGCUUUUUAGGCUAGAGUGGGCUCCGAAAUCAUAAUGAUGGCCUAAGAUCAUUUCUCCAACCAACUAAAUUCAAAAUUAGCUUUGAAAGACUAAUGGGACAAGUUCUAGAUAAC
rnacentral:lncRNA from 1 species